rnacentral:rRNA from 1 species
GAUGAACGCUGGCGGCGUGCCUAAUACAUGCAAGUCGAGCGAACGGACGAGAAGCUUGCUUCUCUGAUGUUAGCGGCGGACGGGUGAGUAACACGUGGAUAACCUACCUAUAAGACUGGGAUAACUUCGGGAAACCGGAGCUAAUACCGGAUAAUAUUUUGAACCGCAUGGUUCAAAAGUGAAAGACGGUCUUGCUGUCACUUAUAGAUGGAUCCGCGCUGCAUUAGCUAGUUGGUAAGGUAACGGCUUACCAAGGCAACGAUGCAUAGCCGACCUGAGAGGGUGAUCGGCCACACUGGAACUGAGACACGGUCCAGACUCCUACGGGAGGCAGCAGUAGGGAAUCUUCUGCAAUGGGCGAAAGCCUGACGGAGCAACGCCGCGUGAGUGAUGAAGGUCUUCGGAUCGUAAAACUCUGUUAUUAGGGAAGAACAUAUGUGUAAGUAACUGUGCACAUCUUGACGGUACCUAAUCAGAAAGCCACGGCUAACUACGUGC